CCUAUAGUUUAAUGGUAGAACAUUAGCUUCCCAAGCUGAUUGCGCGAGUUCGAUUCUCGUUAGGU
rnacentral:tRNA from 1 species